rnacentral:rRNA from 1 species
GGUAUGAAUGGCUAAACGAGAAAUAGACUUUUUUUGUUAUAAAAAUCGAAUUUAAUUUUUUAGUGAAAAAGCUAAAAUAAUUCAGAAAGACGAGAAGACCCUAUAGAGUUUUAUGUUUGAUAAUUAUUUUUCUUAUUUGAUUUUUUCAGAUUAAUAGUUUAAAAGUAUUUUGUUGGGGCGACAUUAAGAUAUAAAAAACUCUUUAUUUUAAAAAUUUUUAUGGAAAGUUAGUUUGAUCCUUUAAAAAAGAUCAAAAGAAAAAAUUACCUUAGGGAUAACAGCGUAAUCUUUUUUGAGAGUUCUAAUCGACAAAAAGGUUUGCGACCU